UUCUCAUGAGGAUCACUGGUAUUGGAUGAAUGAAUCUUCAGGUCUUUACUCAGUUAGGAGUGCUUACCGUUUGCUACAACUCCUUCAUGGUCGCUGGGCUUCGAACAAUAACUCUGGUUUUUGGCGAACUCUUUGGAAUCUUAAGAUCCCCCCAAAGGUUAAGAACCUUUUGUGGCGUGCUGUUUUAGGUUGCCUCCCCACCAACCUGAAUUUAAGGAUGCGUUAUGUGGACAUUAAUCCCAGCUGCCCUGUUUGUUUGAAGGACUUUGGGAGUUAGUUGGAGCAGAUCUUUGCUGAGGGCAUUGGCAAGAAAACAUUACUGAUUAGCAUGAUCUGUUGUAGUAUUUGGAAAGUUCGUAACGAGUUUGUUUGGAGAGGAACACGGUUGGAUUAGCAAGAAGUUGUGACAUCUGCACUUACUUAUUUUGACCAUUGGAGUAUUGCUCAGAAGAUACAUUUUCUUCUGCCCAAAAUUCAAAAUUUAGGGAGAGAUGAGCAUUGGACCAAGCCUGUGGAUAAUAUGGUCAAAAUUAAUGUAGAUGCUGCUUUAUUUCAGUCUAUUAACUCUUUUGGCUUUGGCUGGGCAACUAGGAAUCAUAUUGGAGAGCUUAUUGAGGCUCAGAGUCAGCUUAGGCGGGGCAUUGUUCUUCCUCACAUUGCUGAAGCAUUUGGCGUUAAGGAGGUCCUUAGUUGGUUCAAAACCCAGCAGUGCGUGCUUUCUCCUUUUGGUGAUAUUGUUAGGGACUGAAGAUUUAAUGUCUCGUUGUACUAUUGUGUCUAUUCAGCCAGUGAAACGUUCUGUUAACCAAGUAGCUCAUUACUUAGCUAGGAGCUCUUGUUAUAAUUCAGGACGUGUGUAUAAUAGCUAAUGUUCCAUCUGAUUUGUUGACUCUUUUGCAGGCUGAUUUGACCAAUGUUUAAAAUGAGUGUCCUUAUCAUUAUUCUUAAAUAAAAAGCUUUUCCAAGUCCAAUGGAAUAGAAAAAGAAGACCUAUCAAAUUCAGAUGUUUAUCCAUUUCAAAAAAAAAAAAAAUCAGAUAUUUAUUCCGGUACGAGAAAUACAAAAGCAGCUAUGGAAAAUUCAGUUUUUUUUUUUUUGACAAAAGCAAAUUCUGAAGUUUUAAUCAAAUGUUAUGGCGUAAAAAGAAGAAAAAUGGUUCUAAUGCAUCCUAAUUUGAAUAAGUUGCUGUUACCUGAUUGUGGCCAAAUUACGUUAAGGCGCACCUUUGAUUUUUUAUCACAAAGAAAAAUCAAUUAUUGCCUAUUGGUUCCUUGAUAAAACGAAAAAGAGUGUACUUGCUAUAUUUCUCAACAGUAAAGUAUCUAUUCAGUUACAUUAACUAAUAUCCAUUAUCCCCGAGUAAUACCUAAACAUGGAACCACUUAACCUUAUGGUUACAAUGAUGCUACAACAUUAAAUUUUUUUUU